AAUCAACGCUGGCGGCGUGCCUCAGACAUGCAAGUCGAACGAUUAAAGCUCUCUUCGGAGAGUGCAUAGAGUGGCGCACGGGUGAGUAACACGUAAGUAAUCUACCUUCGAGUGGGGAAUAACGUCCGGAAACGGGCGCUAAUACCGCAUAAUGCAGCGGCAUCGCAAGAUGACAGUUGUUAAAGGAGCAAUCCGCUUGAAGAGGAGCUUGCGGCAGAUUAGCUAGUUGGUAGGGUAAUGGCCUACCAAGGCUACGAUCUGUAACCGGUCUUAGAGGACGGUCGGUCACACUGACACUGAAUAACGGGUCAGACUCCUACGGGAGGCAGCAGUCGGGAAUUUUGGGCAAUGGGGGAAACCCUGACCCAGCAACGCCGCGUGAAGGAUGAAGUAUUUCGGUAUGUAAACUUCGAAAGAAUAGGAAGAAUUAAUGACGGUACUAUUUAUAAGGUCCGGNUAACUACGUG
rnacentral:rRNA from 1 species